GAUGAAGAACGUAGCGAAAUGCGAUACUUGGUGUGAAUUGCAGAAUCCCGUGAACCAUCGAGUCUUUGAACGCAAGUUGCGCCCGAAGCCAUUAGGCCGAGGGCACGCCUGCCUGGGCGUCACACGUCGUUGCCCCCCCAUCUACUCCUUCGGGAUUGCGGGGGGCGGAUGAUGGCCUCCCGUGCGCCACGCCGCGCGGUUGGCAUAAAUGCCAAGUCCUCGGCGACGCACGCCACGACAAUCGGUGGUUGCGAAACCUCGGUUGCCCGUCGUGUGCGGUCGUCGCGCAUCGAGGGCUCGAAAAAAUUGCCGGGCUCCGGCUCGGCUUUCAACGCGACCCCAGGUCAGGCGGGGUUACCCGCUGAAUUUAAGCAUAUCAAUAAGCGGAGGA
rnacentral:misc_RNA from 1 species